rnacentral:lncRNA from 10 species
AGAUCAUCCAAAAUUCUUAUUCUUAUGGUUUUAUGUAGUCAGUAUUUACCUCUAUUUUUCUGCAUGUUUAUCCUUCCAAUUUAGUUCAUUACUUCCUGCACCUUUGAUGUCAUAUACAUAAACAGGAAAUAACACAUGGUGGCCGGGAUGUAGAGAGAGCCACAGGACUUGUGAAUAAAAUCCACAGGCAAGGAUGUGGCGAUUCCUUUUGCAAUAUUGGAGGGAAUGCCAAACCCUAUGUUUGCUGUGGAAAAGAGUAUGUUAGUUCCUCAAAACAUCAAAAUGGUAUUGCCAUAUGAUUCAGCAGCUCCACAUCUCAGGAUAGCAAAAGAAAUGAAAGCAGAGUCUUGAAAAAAUAUUUACACAUCCAUAUUUGCAGCAGCAUUAUUGGCAAUAGCUAAAACGUAGAAGCAAUUGAAGUGUCCAACAACAGAUGAAUGGAUAAGCAAAAUAUGAUAUAUACAUACAAUGGAAUAUUAUUCAGUCUUAAACAUGAGGGAAAUAUUCUGACAUAUGUUGCAACUUGGAUGAAACUUGAGAAUAUUAUGCCAAGUGAAAUAAGUUAGUCAGUGAAGGACAAAUACAGUAUAAUUCCAUUUGUAUAAGGAACUUAAAGUGGACAGAGUCACAGAGAUAGUACAAUGAUGGUUGCCAGAAGCUGGGGGGAGGAAGACAUGGGGAAGUAUUGCUUAAUGAGUAUAGAGUUUCAGUUUCACAAGAUGAAACGAGUUAUGGAG